UGCAAGUCGAGGGGCAUCGGGAUUGAAGCUUGCUUCAAUUGCCGGCGACCGGCGCACGGGUGCGUAACGCGUAUGUAACCUACCUAUAACAGGGGCAUAACACUGAGAAAUUGGUACUAAUUCCCCAUAAUAUUCGGAGAGGCAUCUCUCCGGGUUGAAAACUCCGGUGGUUAUAGAUGGACAUGCGUUGUAUUAGCUAGUUGGUGAGGUAACGGCUCACCAAGGCAACGAUACAUAGGGGGACUGAGAGGUUAACCCCCCACACUGGUACUGAGACACGGACCAGACUCCUACGGGAGGCAGCAGUGAGGAAUAUUGGUCAAUGGACGCAAGUCUGAACCAGCCAUGCCGCGUGCAGGAAGACGGCUCUAUGAGUUGUAAACUGCUCUUGUACAAGGGUAAACUCACCUACGUGUAGGUGACUGAAAGUAUCGUACGAAUAAGGAUCGGCUAACUCCGUGCCAGCAGCCGCGGUAAUACGGAGGAUUCAAGCGUUAUCCGGAUUUAUUGGGUUUAAAGGGUGCGUAGGCGGUUUGAUAAGUUAGAGGUGAAAUCCCGGGGCUUAACUCCGGAACUGCCUCUAAUACUGUUAGACUAGAGAGUAGUUGCGGUAGGCGGAAUGUAUGGUGUAGCGGUGAAAUGCUUAGAGAUCAUACAGAACACCGAUUGCGAAGGCAGCUUACCAA
rnacentral:rRNA from 1 species